rnacentral:lncRNA from 10 species
UCUGAGGCACCCACAGACUUCUGAGCAGGCACAGUCCUAACCUCCCCAUUGGGGCCAGCUUUCAGAGUACAGCUUUGCCUAGAGCAAAGUGAGUGUGGGGCGGGGCGGGGGUCACGCAGUGGCUCAGCUGUGACCAAAAAACGUCAGACUCUUCACUCUUAGAUGUUUAUAGAAAACUGUAAUCUCAGAAUGAAAAGGCAAAUGUUGAAACUUCUUUCAAGAUGACUUCUUUAUUUUUGGGUUUUGUUUGUUUGUUUUGGGAGAGUCUCUCUCUGUCGCCCAGGCUGGAGUGCAGUGGUGUGAUCUCGGCUCACUGCAGCCUCCACCUCCCCAGUAGCUAGGACUGCAGAUGCGUACCACCACACCCAGCUAAUUUUUGUAUUUUAGUAGAGAUGGGGUUUCACCAUGUUGGCCGGGCUGGCCUCCAUCGAACUCCUGGCUUCAAGAGAUCCGCCCACCUUGGGCUCCCAAAGUGCUGGGAUUAUAAGCGCCCGGCCUCCUUCACAAUGUUGGAGUGGAGUGCAGCUGCAAAGGCUUUGCCUUGACACUGUGCUCACUGGUGUGGCAGAGAUCAGACUCGCAUCACAAAGCCCAGCUCUGUCACCCGACGGUUGAUGUAACUAUUAGAAGAGGUGGGGAGAUAUUUAUGCCCCUUUUCUGGGCCAUAAAAUGGGAACUUCUCAAGGCAGGCAUAGAGAUUAAAUGAGAACAAGGCCUGGCCCAGCAUAGUUGCCCAAUAUGUAUGUUUUCUCCUUCCCUUCCUUCUGCCAGCAAGUCUAACUGCAUGCUCAGCCUAAGCUGAGCUUAUCUGUGGCUUCCAUCAGGGCCUUGCCCUUCCUCCCCCAUGGUUUUGCCCAGGGCCACCUGUACUGGAGAGGGAAAGGCCAGGCAUUUCUCCAGUAAUUACCAGCUUCUCAUGGCUGAGCCCUUCAGGCCAUUAAAAUGACAACCUACUCUUGCUGAACCUAAUUCUUUGCUGAAUCCUUUGCCCUGACAUGAGAGAUGUGUUACCAGAUUAAGUAGGAAGGAUCAGAACAUCUUGGGACCUGGCCCUCACACUCUCCCUGCAUUCCUACCGCAAGGACAGCCUCUGGCUGCUCUACUGGGUUUAUUCCACCAUACUAUAAGCCCCCUGAGGUCGGAAGCCUUGCUUCCUCGACCACCCAACCCUAACGUGAUGCCUGGCACAUAGUAGGUUCUUGGUAAGUUAUUUGCUGAAUGACUAAGGAGGACUAAAUCAUGGGCAGUAACUAGUUUCCAGUUAGCAUGGAGUUGGGGGCUGUUUCUGGUUAAUAGAGAAGUCUCAGCACUGAGCUCAGGGACUGCCUAGAACUCAGAAGAAAAUCCUAAUUUCAGCUCUUCUUUCUGUCUGCUCCUGGUCCUGCCCCAGGGAGGGCAGAGACAUACAGAAAUAUGGAGGAGUGAAAAUGGCACCGAAUCAGGCAUCCAGAGCUUUGAGUUCUAGGCUCAGGUCCAUGCUCAGUGACUUAAGUUCUAUGUGCCUUUAUUGCCUUAUCUCCAAAAAGUGCGGUGGCUCACGCCUGUAAUCCCAGCACUUUGGGAGGCCGAGGUGGGCAGAUUGCUUGAGCCCAGGAGUUGGAGACCAGGCUGGGCAACAAGGUAAAACCCCAUCUCUACAAAAAUAAAAAACUA